ACUCCUACGGGAGGCAGCAGUGGGGAAUAUUGGACAAUGGGCGAAAGCCUGAUCCAGCCAUGCCGCGUGUGUGAAGAAGGUCUUCGGAUUGUAAAGCACUUUAAGUUGGGAGGAAGGGCAGUAAGUUAAUACCUUGCUGUUUUGACGUUACCAACAGAAUAAGCACCGGCUAACUUCGUGCCAGCAGCCGCGGUAAUACGAAGGGGUGCAAGCGUUAAUCGGAAUUACUGGGGCGUAAAGCGCGCGUAGGUGGUUCAGCAAGUUGGAUGUGAAAUCCCCGGGGCUCAACCUGGGAACUGCAUCCAAAACUACUGAGCUAGAGUACGGUAGAGGGUGGUGGAAUUUCCUGUAUAGCGGUGAAAUGCGUAGAUAUAGGAAGGAACACCAGUGGCGAAGGCGACCACCUGGACUGAUACUGACACUGAGGUGCGAAAGCGU
rnacentral:rRNA from 1 species